rnacentral:rRNA from 1 species
GGACUACAGGGGUUUCUAAUCCUGUUUGCUCCCCACGCUUUCGCACCUCAGUGUCAGUAUGAAUCCAGAAAGCCGCCUUCGCCACUGGUGUUCCUUCCGAUCUCUACGCAUUUCACUGCUACACCGGAAAUUCCGCCUUCCUCUACUCUACUCUAGUCAUGUAGUUUCAAAUGCAGUUCCCAGGUUAAGCCCGGGGAUUUCACAUCUGACUGUCACGACCACCUACGUGCGCUUUACGCCCAGUAAUUCCGAUUAACGCUUGCACCCUCUGUAUUACCGCGGCUGCUGGCAC